GCGCAGCAGUCGAGAAACUUCCCCAAUGGACGAAAGUCUGAGGGAGCGACGCCGCGUGAAUGAAGAAGCCCUUCGGGGUGUAAAAUUCUUUUCUUUAGGAAAAUUCGUGAUGGUACUAAAGGAAUAAGGGGCCGCCAAACUCGUGCCAGCAGCGGCGGUAAUACGAGUGCCCCGAGCGUUAUCCGGAAUUACUGGGCGUAAAGCGCUAAAAGGCGGUUUUGAUAAGUCAGACGUCAAAUCUCCGAGCUCAACUCGGAGCCGGUGUCUGAAACUGCCUAACUUGAGGACGGAAGAGGCAAGCGGAAUGGCUGGUGUAGGCAGUAAAAUGCGUUAAUAUCAGCUAGAACACCAAUGGCGAAGGUCAGCUUGCU
rnacentral:rRNA from 1 species